rnacentral:rRNA from 1 species
GUGCCAGCAGCCGCGGUAAUACGUAGGGGGCAAGCGUUGUCCGGAUUUAUUGGGCGUAAAGAGCGUGUAGGCGGCCCGAGAGGUCGGUUGUGAAAACUGGAGGCUCAACCUCCAGACGUCGACCGAAACCCUCGGGCUAGAGUCCGGAAGAGGAGAAUGGAAUUCCUGGUGUAGCGGUGAAAUGCGCAGAUAUCAGGAAGAACACCCGUGGCGAAGGCGGUUCUCUGGGACGGUACUGACGCUGAGACGCGAAAGCGUGGGGAGCGAACAGGAUUAGAUACCCUGGUAGUCC